UUUCAGCUGGCAAGCAGCUUGCCCUGCGGACCCGGAGCAGCUAUGGCUCAGCCGGGACACGGCGGGUGGAAACUCCACAGGCCCGAUCGGUUGUGUCCUUGGCUCGUUUAGGCUGCGACUUCAGAUACACCCACCCACCCUGCCAGCGCACAGAAAGCACAGCCCCUGAUGGCUGCAGGAACUUGUACCAGACCCCAGGCUGCAUACUGUGACCCAUUCAGCUCAAGAUUUUAUCGGGCAGACAUUGCCAGGGUCUCUCAGUCUCUGACUCAGAUUACAGUUUAGAACACAACAUGGCAGGCCACGUCAAAUGGAGCCAAUCUUUGAACUAAGGAGAAGAGCGCUUCUGCACCUACCAGGAAAUGAAAGAAAAGCAGGAGUGCCUACUUUUCUGGAAAACCCAUUCAUUCAUUCAGUAAAUAUUCAUUGGACACCCGCUAUGUAUCAGGCAUUGUGCUACACUGUGGGAAUACAGCAGUGGACAAGACAUAGGUGGCCCUGAGCUCUUGGCAUUCAGUGAAGGAAAGCCAGAUACCAACUUGCACCGUGACCGGGAGCCCUGUACUCAGAGGACAUCUGGCUACAGCACUGUUGACCUUCCUGAUUUCAGGUCAGUUUAGAAGUCCGAUAUAUCCUACCUUUAUUCUAUCAACCCCUGUUCUAUUAUUCAGUUGGGGGUUGGUUGGUGGGGGCCACCAUGAGCAGCCACUUACCCAGGAGCAGAGUCUCUGAUUCACGAAAAUGACAAACAUACUGAGAGAACAUAUAAAUCGAAACAGUACAUGGAGU